rnacentral:rRNA from 1 species
AUUGAACGCUGGCGGCAUGCCUUACACAUGCAAGUCGAACGGCAGCACGGGUGCUUGCACCUGGUGGCGAGUGGCGAACGGGUGAGUAAUACAUCGGAACGUACCUUAUCGUGGGGGAUAACGCAGCGAAAGCUGUGCUAAUACCGCAUACGCCCUGAGGGGGAAAGCGGGGGAUCGAAAGACCUCGCGCGAUUAGAGCGGCCGAUGCCUGAUUAGCUUGUUGGUGGGGUAAAAGCCCACCAAGGCGACGAUCAGUAGCUGGUCUGAGAGGACGAUCAGCCACACUGGGACUGGGAGACGGCCCAGACUCCUACGGGAGGCAGCAGUGGGGAAUUUUGGACAAUGGGGGCAACCCUGAUCCAGCAAUGCCACGUGAGUGAAGAAGGCCUUCGGGUUGUAAAGCUCUUUUGUCAGGGAAGAAACACCGGCUCUAACACAGUCCGGGAAUGACGGUACCUGAAGAAUAAGCACCGGCUAACUACGUGCCAGCCGCCGCCGUAA